CAGGAAAACACCUAGUGAUAUUUAUAUAUUCUAAUCAGAUCCGAUAUAGUCUAUGGGGAAGAUUUAUUAUGUCCAUUAACACUUUCGUUUGUGCUUCUGUUCAAGAGUUUGCUUACACAUGUAUAUCUAAAUUUGAGAUGAUAGAGAGCUUUGCAUCAACAGCUUGGAAUGGUUGGCCCACCUUGGAGACCACAAAGAAGCUUAUAUGAAAAAUCCGUCUCCGUACUCCGCGCUUGGUUCUUUGAGCAUUUCUUUCAUCUAAAUCCAAAGGAAUCAGAGCAAAUCAUGCUUGCAUAGCAAACAUCUAUAUCGAAAACAUGGUAAAGGCUAUUAUACUUUGUUGUUGGCUCAAUUUUUGGUCUUCCUUUGAUUUGAGUGGUUCUCUGGUUUUGACAAACUUUAGGUUGUGAAUUGGUUUAUUAUUGCGAGAGUUCGGCUAUGUAACCGAUUAUCAAAGAGACGUAUAAAGAAUAUUUUGGUGAUGCAUCAGAGCUUACACCAAUUCCAGGAUAUCUUCAACGCCUACGAACUGCUCAUCCAGACAGAUUGAGUUGGUGGCGCUGUAGGUGUAGUGGAGAUAUGAAUCAAGUUUGCAGAGGUCCAGGCAUGUCUGGAAUGGAGUUCUUUCGGCGGAGCGUACGUUUUGUGUAAAGAAAUUGUGUGGAAUCGCUGAUGAGAUAAGAGAGACGAAGCAAGAAACGGCUAAAAUGAGAAGGAGAGAAGAAUGUGAAGCCAUGGCUGAUGAGUUCUGGUCUGGUGUUUGAUAAGACACUGGACAUGUAACCUUUGUUUAUAUAGACUGGCCUUAUAGGUUAUGGUGUUUGAUUCAGUGCAUUGCAUGCUUAUACGAUGAAGGAAGAACGAGAGACUGAGAGACUGUUUGGAUUGGCCACAUGAUGAGUUGACUGCUUAGACAAGAAAGUCACUUUCACGAUGUGAAUUGGUGUUUUGUUGUGAAUUAGUGUGUGUGUGUGUAGAGCAUGUGGACAGUGCGUGUUCUUUCGUUGGUUCACUUACUGCAAGUGGCGUCUCUGAUACGUAUAACACACUAUUUGAUUUAUCUCUAACAUGUUUUUCACCUUUGUAAGGUAGAAUGGAGUACAAAACGUUUAUUUUGUACCGCUUUAGGAGACUAUUAUCAUGGUACUAGUUUUAUCAA